UAGCAUGAACACUCUGAAUGCACAUAGUAGAACACUACUGCAGAGGGGUGGUUCAAAAGAGGCUCGGUUCAGAAGAGGCUCAUAGAUGUUGAUGGAUCUCUACCAGAUGAAGAGUUACAAGACACCAUGAGGCCCAAGAGUUGUUGAAUGAGUUGAACCGGCUGCAAUGGACUUUGUCAGAAUUCAUGGAUCAGAUCUCUGAUACACUCUUACUGUUCAUUGGAUGAACUUGGGAAGAAAAAACUCUGAAGAACUUUAUCCGACAAGGAGCAACAGGCAGUGGUCAUCCAAGAACUGUGGAACAUGACACUGGCCUGCCUUUAAAUAGUAUACUGUGGGCAUGGAGGCAGGGCUCGGUCGCCAUGAUGAGCUGCGGCAUUCUACCAUGAGGGUCCUGCACAGGCGCAGAACCCCAUU